rnacentral:rRNA from 1 species
GAUGAACGCUAGCGGCAGGCUUAAUACAUGCAAGUCGAGGGACCGCACAGGUAGCAAUACUGGGUGGUAACCGGCAAACGGGUGCGGAACACGUACACAACCUUCCUUUAAGUGGGGGAUAGCCCAGAGAAAUUUGGAUUAAUACCCCGUAAUAUAGUUGAAUGGCAUCAUUUGAUUAUUAUAGCUACGGCGCUUAAUGAUGGGUGUGCGGCUGAUUAGAUAGUUGGCGGGGUAACGGCCCACCAAGUCUACGAUCAGUAGCUGAUGUGAGAGCAUGAUCAGCCACACGGGCACUGAGACACGGGCCCGACUCCUACGGGAGGCAGCAGUAAGGAAUAUUGGUCAAUGAACGCAAGUCUGAACCAGCCAUGCCGCGUGAAGGAUUAAGGUCCUCUGGAUUGUAAACUUCUUUUAUUUGGGACGAAAAAGGGCCUUUCUAGGUCAACUGACGGUACCAGAUGAAUAAGCACCGGCUAACUCCGUGCCAGCAGCCGCGGUAAGAC